UGCAUGGGAGGUAGCAAGCAGGCAGAAGUAGUAGGGGAGGAGUAUACACCAUGAUAGAAUCAAGGUAAAAUCGAUGGUUUGAUUCAGUUCGUGUAGAUUGAAAUUUGUUUGUAGGACGAAUUAGAUGCGGCCUCUAGAUAGAUUCAGCUAACUUCAGAUUUCGGUGCUGUGAUUUGCAGGUUAAAUCACAGAGAUGUGCAAUUGGUAGUUAGAGUAAGGUCUUUUUCCAGCUUGCCUGAUGGGGGGCUAAAAACUUGGCGGCAGGUUAAAACUUUGCCAACACAAAUUAUUCACUUACAUAGUUUUGGGAUGUUGCAGUUAGUUAACUUCAUUGCUGAACACUACAUGUGGGGUUCAAAGCAACAUGUAUCUUUGUGGUGUGAGUUGGAGAGUGACUCUAUUGAGAUAAAAUCUGAUGAGCAGUUGUUUGAGUGUUUUGAUCUCAAUGUUGACAAAGGAACAGUUCAUAUUGUUGCUCAGAUAGAUGAUUUUGAGGGACCAUUGCAGUGUUCACCAACGAAACGUAGGUGUCACGCUUCCGUAAGAAAUAGAAUACCCACAAUUGAGAGAGCCACAAAUGUGAGAGGCAAAUCCACAUCCAAAAAUGAGACAACCACACAUGACAGUGUAGGUGUCGGUGAGGAGAGCAUGUACUCAGACACAGAUUCACUUGUGGCAGCUAGUGAUAGCAGCUAUGACACAUAUUUGGCUGCAGCUUCUGACUCUAAUGAUGAAGGCUCUGACCCUGAGUUUGACCCUGAUGGUGAAAUAGUUGAUCAGGAUGACGAGUUUAAUCCUCCCCCAUUGUCAUAUGAUGUUGAUGCUCCUUGUAUUGAUGUUGAUGUACUCUUUCUGGAUGUUGAUCAGUGCAAAUCUGCAGUUACACACCGUGCUAUAUUGAACGAUCAUGCUUUUUGAGAUUGUCAAAGAGGACAAGACCAGAUUUAGAGCAAUAUGCAAGAGUGCUGCCAGUGGUUGCAACUAGAAGUUUUUUGCAUCUACAAGCAAGAAGUAUAUUGGCUGCAAGGUUAAGACAAGUGGCCCAAAGCAUACUUGUGGUUCAGUCAAUAAUUAUGGCGGAACAAUGGCCACAAAUAAAUUGGUAGCUGAUAGAGUGGUGGAUUUGUUGAGAGAUGAUCCUGAAAUAGGUCCAAAGGAGUUGCAAGAAAGCAAUUGGUACUCCUACAGGUUUGGUCAUUAGUACUGAUGCGGGCAAAGUAAUAGAGGGAGCUGUAGACGAUGUGUACCUAGGAGUGGAACAUAGAGAGUGCAUGAGGCACUUGUGGAAGAACAUGAAGAAGAAUGGAUUCACUAGUGAGUUUUAUGGGAUGAAUAUGUGGUGUGAUGCCAAGAGCUUUACAAUUGACAAAUUCAACUAUUUCAUGGGAAAGAUAGAGGAGAAGGAUCCCAGUGCACUUUCAUGGUUGGAUGAUAACCAUCCAUAUGUGUGGAGUAGAAGCAAAUUCAGCGAAGAAUGCAAGGUAGAUUACACCAAUAACAAUCUAUCUGAAUGUUUCAAUAGUUGGGUGUCCAAAACCAAGAAUUAUUAGAUUGUGGAUAUGCAUGAUAGGAUAAGACAAAUGAUCAUCGAGAAAUUUGUUUUGAGAGCGAAGAUUGGUAGAAAUAUGCAAGGAAUAAUCAUCCCAUCUUUUACCAAAACUCUCGAUGUGAAAUCCAAGUCAAUCAAGGACCAUGAGGGACUUAUAUGUGGGUCUGGGACAGCUGAAGUAACUGUGAAUAGAUUUAGGCAUGCCGUCAACUUGGAGCAAAAAACAUAUACUUGUAGAGCUUGGCAAGUAACUGGAAAGCCGUGCAGCCAUGCAUUAGCUUUCAUUGCAAAGCUCAGUAGGAAGGUACAAAUGGAUGAGUUUGUCCAUGGAUACUUCUCUGUUGAUAGGUUCAAAAAGACAUAUGCAUGUACAUUCAAUCCAAUGACAUCCAAAGACAGCUAGCCACAUGUUGAUUUAGGCUACAAAAUCAACAAGCCCAAGUUGGGAAGGAAACCUGGGAGACCAAGAAAAUCUAGGAUCAAGGCAUAUGAUUGUUGAUGCGAAACGAUCACACACCAAAGCCCGAGAGCCUCGUACGCCAAGCUCGGACUGCACUUGAUUCAAACCAAGGCAUG